rnacentral:lncRNA from 1 species
GACCUUCUUAUCAUUUUGUUCAAUCAAUGCAUUUGAAAAAAAAAUUUAAAGAGAAAGUCCAACUUUAAACUCUUCCUUCUCAAAUUUCCAACCUUUAAAUUUGGUGUGUUCUAAACAAUAGUCCUGUUUCAGGUUCCUAUAUUACUUAGAACUUUUCAGAGUAAUAUGCAAAACUUCCUUUGUGAAAGCUUUAUUAGUCCGUUAAUCAUUAUUCCAAUGCAACAUGCUUGCAAAAAUGGUCAUAACAAUGGAUAAGAAUAAUGUUGGUUCUGAGCAUAGCUCGAAAGGAAUAAAUUAUAAAAAAUAAUAAAGAAGGAUAACAAAGAAAUUGAUUGGGAAUGUGUAUCUUGAAAAGAAAAAACAUUCCAAGAACAAAAAUAAUAUGAGAAUUGGGUGCCCAAGAUAUCGCAGCUUGAACUUCUCUGUACAAACUUUCUGAAGACCAUUUUGAGUUUGACAUGUGUUUAGGAGAUCUACAGUGCUUUGUUGAAGCCCCAAGAUGUCGCCUACCCUUUCCUGUUGAUUCAGGCAUAGCAAGAUCACCACAUGCCACAAUACGAUCAAAAUUUGAGUUGCUAUGAUCAUCUCAUGCCCAUUUUAAUCAAUAUUUGAGCCGCCCUUUUCGAGUUUUCAACUUAAAUCCCCUUUGGCCUAGGGUGCCCUUCGCGGUUUUUCCCCUUAGACUUUCCAUUUUUAUUUUUCAUCAUUUUUCAUUUUUUUUUGACUCAAAGUCCUCUUUGCAAGUUUUCACCUUGGCCCUUUCUUCUUCUCUUUAAACGAAGUAUUCCUUGACUAGACCUGAGUUUAUAGGACUAGCAAUCUCACUCAGGAUCAGUGCUCUUCUGAAAAAGGUCUUCUUUACAACAUAGGGACAUUCCCGGUUUGGCAUUCAUUUCCCUCUAGAAUCCUUUCGAAGGAUCUCUUUCAACAUCCACCCCUCUCGUGGAAUUUUCUGAGAUGACCCUGUUUAUUAUGGGCUCGUAUCAUUUGUUUCUGGGACAUCCGACCUUGAUGAAUAGCUGUUAACCCUUUUCCUAGGUCCAACUGACCACAUCGCGAUUGGAUCCCUCCAACUCUACCUCAACUAAUACCUGGAGAAAGAGGAUUUCAAUAGGUAAAGCUACCUCAAUCCCGUAAACCAAAGAGAGGGGUGUUGUCCCAGUACAGAUGUUUGACAAGCAAUGAGGGUAAAUGGUAAUUUCUCAUGCCAGUCUUUACAAAUCUUAUUCAUCUUUCAAUUUUCUUGAUGUUCAUCUCUAGGCAAUUUGGUGACAAAUCGUGGUGUCUGCUUCUGAAUUGAUUUCAGACCUCAGCUCUCGUGUUGUUGUUUAAGCUCAACGCAUUAUCCAAUAUAAUCUUCUUUGGAAUUUUAUAUCGGCAUAUGAUGACAUUGGCGUGUGAAGUAGCCUCUAAUGAUCUCAAAAAUGAAGUAAUGCCCAUCAGAAGUCUUCGAUAAUGGUGAUGUCCAUGCCCCAUUUUGCUCAAAAUUUGAGUCGCCCUUUUCGGGUUUUGAACUCAAAACCACCUUUGGUCACAAAACGCCCUUUGUAGGUUUUCGCCUUGGCCUCUCCUUUUUAUUUUUAUUUUUCUUUUUUCUUUUAAUUUUUUUGAUUUUGAUUUUGAUUGAUUUUUUUCAUUUUUUUUACUUUGAUUUUGAUUUUGAUUUUUUCUUUUUCUUUUUUUUUUGAAUCAGAUCUGAACUCAUAGGAUUAGGCCAGUCCUUGUUAUCCCUUUUUUAUCAGAACCAAUCUUUUUCCAGAUAAGAUCUGAGCCUUUUGGGGCACAACUACGACAGAAAACUUUAGAUCUUCCUUUUUAAUCAGGUUAAACCCAAUAUAAACUUGAAGAGAUGGAAACUUGACUUCAAACGGGCAAAGCUAUGAUGAGUCAACGAGAAAGGCAUUGCCCCGGUAAAGAAUUGCAUCGUUCAUACUGCAAAUCAUGCUGUUGUGCAGAUUUCACUAUCAGCGCUUAACCUGAGCAUAUCCUGAUAUGAUCAUACAAAGACAUCUUUGAACUCUAGAGGUAACUCAACAAGGCCCUG